CGGAGGGUGCGAGCGUUAAUCGGAAUUACUGGGCGUAAAGGGUGAGUAGGUGGUUUAAUAAGUUAUGUGUGAAAGACCUGGGCUCAACCUGGGGUAGUCAGAUAAGACUGUUAGACUGGAGUAUAGGAGAGGGCAGUGGAAUUUCCGGUGUAGCGGUGAAAUGCGUAGAGAUCGGAAGGAACACCGGUGGCGAAGGCGGCUGCCUGGCCUAAUACUGACACUGAGUCACGAAAGCGUGGGGAGCAAACAGGAUUAGAUACCCUGGUAGUCCACGCUGUAAACGAUGUCAACUAGCUGUUGGUCAUAUAGAGAUGAUUAGUAGCGUAGCUAACGCGAUAAGUUGACCGCCUGGGGAGUACGGUCGCAAGAUUA
rnacentral:rRNA from 1 species